rnacentral:rRNA from 1 species
UACGUAGGUGGCAAGCGUUGUCCGGAUUUACUGGGCGUAAAGGGCGUGCAGGCGGUCUGUUAAGUGCAGGGUGAAAGCUCCCGGCUCAACUGGGAGAGGUCCUUGCAUACUGGCGGACUUGAGGGGGGUAGAGGAAAGUGGAAUUCCCGGUGUAGUGGUGAUAUGCGUAGAUAUCUGGAGGAACACCAGAGGCGAAGGCGGCGACCUGGACAAGCACUGACACUCAACUGCGAAAGCGUGGGGAGCAAACAGG